rnacentral:rRNA from 1 species
GACGAACGCUGGCGGCGUGCCUAACACAUGCAAGUCGAGCGAGAACCUCAGCGGGGGUAACCCUGCUGAGGGGAAAGCGGCGAACGGGUGAGUAUCACGUGGGCAACCUGCCCCAGGCACCGGGAUAACCUCGGGAAACCGGGGCUAAUACCGGAUACCCUCCCUGGACCACAUGGACCGGGGAGGAAAUGCUCCGGCGGCCUGGGAUGGGCCCGCGGCCUAUCAGCUUGUUGGCGGGGUAACGGCCCACCAAGGCGAUGACGGGUAGCUGGCGUGAGAGCGUGGCCAGCCACACUGGGACUGAGACACGGCCCAGACUCCUACGGGAGGCAGCAGUGGGGAAUCUUGCGCAAUGGGGGCAACCCUGACGCAGCGACGCCGCGUGCGGGAUGAAGGCCUUCGGGUUGUAAACCGCUUUCAGCAGGGACGUAGCGAGAGUGACGGUACCUGCAGAAGAAGCCCCGGCUAACUACGUGCCAGCAGCCGCGGUAAGACGUAGGGGGCGAGCGUUGUCCGGAUUCAUUGGGCGUAAAGCGCGCGCAGGCGGCCCGGUAAGUCGGAUGUGAAAACCCGCGGCUCAACCGCGGGCCGUCAUUCGAUACUGUCGGGCUCGAGGCAGGUAGGGGAGAUCGGAAUUCCCGGUGUAGCGGUGAAAUGCGCAGAUAUCGGGAGGAACACCGGUGGCGAAGGCGGAUCUCUGGGCCUGUCCUGACGCUCAGGCGCGAAAGCUGGGGGGAGCGAACAUGAAUUUAGAUACCAGUGGUAGUCCCAGCUGUAAGACGCUUGGGAUGAUUAGGUGUGGGGAGCUUCAACCCUCUCUGUGGCCGCAGCUAACGCAUUAAGCACCCCGCCUGGGGAGUACGUCCGCAAGGCUAAAACUCAAAGGAAUUGAUCGGGGGCCCGCACAAGCGGCGGAGCAUGUGGCUCAAUUCGACGCAACGCGAAGAGCCUUACCAGGGCUUGAACAUGCCGGGUGAAACCGUGGAAACACGGCGCUCCUUCGGGAGCCGGCACAGGUGCUGCAUGGCUGUCGUCAGCUCGUGCCGUGAGGUGUUGCCUUAAGUGGCGCAACGAGCGCAACCCCUGUCCCAUGUUGCCAGCGGGUCAUGCCGGGGACUCAUGGGAGACUGCCGGUGCCAAACCGGAGGAAGGUGGGGAUGACGUCAAGUCAUCAUGGCCCUUAUGUCCUGGGCUGCACACAUGCUACAAUGCGCGGUACAGAGGGCUGCGAUCCCGCAAGGGGGAGCGAAUCCCAAAAAGCCGCGCUCAGUUCGGAUCGGGGUCUGCAACCCGACCCCGUGAAGUCGGAGUCGCUAGUAAUCGCGGAUCGGCAAUGCCGCGGUGAAUACGUUCUCGGGCCUUGUACACACCGCCCGUCACGCCACGAAAGUCGGUAACACCCGAAGUCAGUGGCCCAACCCUCGGGAGGGAGCUGCCGAAGGUGGGACCGGCGAUUGGGGU